UGAAUCCCAAAGGAGACUGCAGCUGAUGAAAGUGCUUCCAAACUGAAAAUUGGACGUGCCUUUACGAUGGAUUUUUUACUUCACAACACGGAAUUGGCCAUUUGGAGAUUUACUUUGUAAGAUUUCUGUGAUGCUGUUUUAUACCAACAUGUACGGAAGCAUUCUGUUCUUAACCUGUAUUAGUGUAGAUCGAUUUCUGGCAAUUGUCUACCCAUUUAAGUCAAAGACUCUAAGAACCAAAAGAAAUGCAAAGAUUGUUUGCACUGGCGUGUGGUUAACUGUGAUCGGAGGAAGUGCACCCGCCGUUUUUGUUCAGUCUACCCACUCUCAGGGUAACAAUGCCUCAGAAGCCUGCUUUGAAAAUUUUCCAGAAGCCACAUGGAAAACAUAUCUCUCAAGGAUUGUAAUUUUCAUCGAAAUAGUGGGAUUUUUUAUUCCUCUAAUUUUAAAUGUAACUUGUUCUAGUAUGGUGCUAAAAACUUUAACCAAACCUGUUACAUUAAGUAGAAGCAAAAUAAACAAAACUAAGGUUUU
rnacentral:lncRNA from 1 species